CAGCGGGCGGCGCUGCGGAUGCGGCUGUUUGCCUGCGGUCCAGCGGCGUGUGGAAAUGGCUGAAAUCCCUGCGAGUGCUGACUGGGCCGGAAUGCGCCUCCGGAGCGGAGCUGCGUGCCCUGCAUUUGGCUCCGGGAGCGGGGCCAGCGACAGCGCCGGGCGCGGGGCCGAGCGGCAGAGCCAGGACGGCGCGGAGCGGGGCCAGGGCUGCGGAAACCUCGAAAGUGCCGUCAGGUGGGGCUGAGUCACGGCCCCCCCCCGCCCCUCACGGCCCCAUACGGCCCCCCCCCGCCCCUCACGGCCCCUCACGGCCCC
rnacentral:lncRNA from 1 species